rnacentral:rRNA from 1 species
UCUGGUGACUUUUGCGGCUGGGAAACACCUCUUCUCAUCCCGAACAGAGAAGUUAAGCCAGUCAGCUCCGAUGGUACCUAUUUAUUUAGGGAGAGUAGGUCGUCGCCAGGA